ensembl:lncRNA
GGAAGGAAGAGCACAGUAAUCUUGUAUCUGUAAUGCAAGAGAAGAGAUGUGAAGGUCAUCCCAAGUCUUCCUACAACCCUAAAGUGAAGCCUGAAGAAUGCUACAGUGCUGCAAAGUUUUGAUGUCAGCAGGAUAACAAUUGCAUCAGUGUGCACUGUCAGCCAGGACCUCUGGCUGCCAGGAGUUGCUAGGAUAUCUCUCACAGGUACCUAUACUUUUCCCUAUUCCUGGGAGCAGGCAGACUGACUGGCACAGGCAGAGGGGGAGGACUGGCCUGAAGGAAGAGGAAAAACUCAUAUGAGGAAAGUAAACCCAUCCUUUGAUGGCUUGCAAGGGCUUUUGCAGGCACCAUGAAGCACUCAAGGGUGGCAGUGAUAGCUGGAAGAGAAUGAAGCCUAGCAGAAGUGCCUAAGGCCGCCAAGUCUCACAAUUCCCAUGAGAUUUUUAGCUAUAAUUUUAAAACCUGUUGUUAUGGAGAAAGCCUUGAAAAUUAGAAGAAGGAUGUCUCAAAGAAAUAGAAGGAGAUGACAGUUUGUGGUUUUGGAAUUGCUCAAGAAAAUAUUUCAAGUCUCCAUCACUAUGACUCUGAGUUUGGAGCUAGUUCAUGCUGUACACUGAAUGCUACAUGAGAUAGGCUGAAUACAAGAAGUCAGUGAAAUAAAUCUAUAUUAACAGCAUCUCUAUCUUGCAGAAUGGAAACAAGCACAAAGAAUCUGAUCUUCUCAGGGCUGCUUAUAGAACUUCUGGCUCCACGUACCUUGAAGGAGGCUCAGCUGCUCUGUAAAUAGACACAUCUGGUCCCGUUCCAGACUUGGGAUGCUGUGUUUUAAUCUAUCUUCACAUAGAAGCCAGCAUGGCAAGUGGCAGCCACUCUGUAACCAUAAGUUCUUGUACCUGUGUUUCUUCUUCUCCUGCAUGGCAAGAACAGUGAUGUGCCCAGGGAAGUACUAGCUAACUUAGGAAUGUUUGUAACCUUUUCUGAGGGUUUCUUCCUCUCAAAGCUCAAGGGACUGAGACACCUCAGAAUUAAGAUCAUUCUAGUGAAGGACAACCUAAAUGUGUAGGAAAUCAGUUUUCAGAUGUUCUCAUCUACUUUGUUUCAAAACCAUUUAUCAAACACUUUGCUUUAAAUGUGAUCCAAGAGCACUCAGGCAGUGGUCCCAGAAUACUCCCGAGCAGCCAGGCCAUCUGGCUGGAGCAGUGUGUGCAAGGCCUGGACAUGUUGUAUGUAAUAUGAGGUUUACCUCACAUAAUGAUUCUUCAGGAGCUGAGCGGGCUCCUGGUCAUCAAAAAUACAUAGUGAGAGAGAUAGUCACAGACACUGACCUAGUGUAGGAGAAGGUGGCUGCAAACCCAACAUAAGCUUAAGGUCAGCUCCUGUGCUGGCUCACUGCUUAUGGCAUGAGGCAUCUUCUCUUUCCCGUGAAGCUCCCUGCUGUGGGCAUUGAGCCUUCUCAAGGGGCCCAGCUACAGCACUGGGGACCCUGGACACCUCACAGGCUCCAAGCCCCUCUAGGACAAAGCAGCAUAGACGAUUCUGGUGCUGAAGAAAGGUUAAGGCUGGGGCUGCACCCUCAAGGCAGCCUCAACAGCAGAUGAAGUUACUUUCCUUCCUACCAGCACACUCUUCACACACCUUCUGCUGGAUGUUUGUUCCACAUGCAGCAGCUCUUCACCUGCUUCAAACUCAGAGGUCUCCUAAAGGCACGUGCUCCUGCCUCUGGGCCCUCCACCACUUGUAAACUACCUGCAGUUUGUGCUUUCUGUGCAGAAAAGAAAACAACAGUGAGAACUAAUGCACGUGUGUGAGAGGAAUGCAUGUGUGUGAGAAGCCUCAAAGCAGCACCAAUGUCUUUUAUCUUCUCAAGCCUUCUGCUUAUCUCCUUUUUAGAGCUUCUCCAUUCCACCUCAGUCUGACACUGUGCCCCACUGCAGUCAUGCAAAACCCAGUAGCACUCUGGUCUCCUAAGCCUCUUUCAUUUAUUUUUUUUUUUCCAGAAAUUUUCCAUUCUAUUCCACGUUAUGACCUUUGAAUAGCUCCCAUAUAACCUGCAGGUGCACUUGCUCCUAACCUCCUAUUUCAGCAUAACAGCAUAGGAGCAGAAGGGAACCUUUUGAUCAACAAAUCCAGUCCUCUGCUCAGACAAGAAACCAUGUCAUAUAAUCUUUGACUCGAUCUGAUUUAGCUCAGUCUUAACAUAAGUUGUCUUUUGUGCCCCGUGCUUCCUUCUACCCAGCUGUUUUUGCUGCUUCAGUGAUGAAAAAGCCCCCGACUUCCAAAAUUACCCUGAUAGUUAUUAUUUGGCUCUCCACUAGCUCCAAGGUAUUUCUGCAAUGAACAACUACUGCUUUGCUUCAGGAGGCUGAACAAGACAAGCUGCCUUUAUCUCCUCUGGAAAUAUGGGCUACCCAGUCCCUUACUCUCCUUACACCCGCCAGGUCUGUAUGGCUCUCUCCUUAGGAGCUCGUCAGGCAGAGGUAAAUUGGUGCAGUUGUCUGCUAGAGUUGUUAUUAGAGAUGAUUCUGAGAUACAAUAGAAUGUGGAUGAGUAUCUUCAGAACUAAGGGAGCUAGGACCCAGGCGUGUGCUCUGUGCUUUGCCUCUUAAUUAUUAAUAGUUAUUAUUUAUUAUUGAUUAUAGUGGUUUGCCCAAAACACUAAUGAAAAUGUAG